rfam:Strigamia maritima strain Brora ctg7180001230210, whole genome shotgun sequence.
UUUAGAUACGGUGAUAUGGUACCCGGGACUAUCACGGGUAAAAUAGUUGGCGGCGUAUGCUCAUUAAGUGGUGUGUUGGUCAUCGCUCUUCCUGUUCCUGUUAUUGUGUCCAAU